AUGGCACAUAAUAGAGCCCCUGGCCCUGACAAUAUUCCUGUUGAAUUCUAUCAGGUAUGCUGGGAUAUCAUUAAAGAUGAUCUUGUGAGGCUUUUUGUGAGCUUUCAUAAUGGGACUUUGGAUGUUCAACGUCUUAACUAUGGGGUGAUCACCCUUUUGCCCAAGUCUUCGGGCGCGGAUAAAAUCCAGCAAUUUAGACCUAUAUGUCUCCUAAGAUGUCCAUAUAAGCUUAUUACUGAAGUUUUGGAUCGGCGAGUGGAGAGGUACGCUGAUAAGCUCAUUAGCUCGACCCAAAAUGCUUUUAUCAAGGGAAGAAGCAUUAUGGACGGGGUGUUGUUGCUGCAUGAAAUUUUGAAUUAUACCCAUGUGAAAAAGAGGGUGGGGGUCGUCUUGAAGCUCGACUUUGAGAAAGCGUACGAUAAGGUGAACUGGGAAUUUUUGUUGGAAUGUCAUAAGCUUCGUGGUUUUAGUGACACGUGGUGCAACUGGAUUAAACAUAUCCUACUCAAUGGUACAGUUAGUAUCAAACUUAAUAAUCAGGUCGGUCCUUAUUUCCAGAGUGCUAAGGGUGUUCGACAAGGGGAUCCCCACUCCCCUUUCCUGUUUAAUCUAGUUGUUGAUUGUCUUGCGAAGAUGAUCUCCAAUGCCCAAAAUAAUAACUUGCUGGUGGGUUUGGCUUCGGAUCUUAUUCCUAAUGGAGUUGCGGUGCUCCAGUAUGCAGACGAUACUAUUAUCUGUCUGGAACACGAUGUUGAUAAGGCAGUAAACCUGAAGUUGCUGCUGUACAUCUUCGAGCUUAUGUCUGGUCUUAAAGUGAACUAUCAGAAAAGUGAGAUCUUCACUGUGGGGGGCGAUGAGAGCACGAUGAAAUACUAUGCUGAGUUGUUUAACUGUGAUGUGGGUAGCUUCCCCAUCAAAUACCUCGGCAUGCCUGUUAGUUAUUCCACACUUAGAGAUUCUGAUUGGGAGUUCAUAGUGAAGGAAAUAUGCCCUAGAGUUCGAGGCGUGGAUCGGUAA
rnacentral:rRNA from 1 species